rnacentral:rRNA from 1 species
UACGUAGGGUGCAAGCGUUGUCCGGAACUAUUGGGCGUAAAGAGCUCAUAGGCGGUUUGUCGCGUCUGCUGUGAAAACCCGAGGCUCAACCUCGGGCCUGCAGUGGGUACGGGCAGACUAGAGUGCGGUAGGGGAGAUUGGAAUUCCUGGUGUAGCGGUGGAAUGCGCAGAUAUCAGGAGGAACACCAAUGGCGAAGGCAGAUCUCUGGGCCGUAACUGACGCUGAGGAGCGAAAGCAUGGGGAGCGAACAGG